rnacentral:tRNA from 1 species
GGGGAGGUUCCCGAGCGGCCAAAGGGAACAGACUGUAAAUCUGUCGGCGAAGCCUUCGGAGGUUCGAAUCCUCCCCUCCCCA